AAUAGUUUUAUGCCACAUCAGUACUCUUAUUCUGAAUUUCAGGAUUUUAUCCUAAAAAAAAUCAAAUCUAAAUUAAAAUACUGAAAUUCAGAAUAAAAGUAUUGAUAUGACAUAAAACUAUU
rfam:Gossypium arboreum cultivar AKA8401 contig_2137_11, whole genome shotgun sequence.